CAGCUAGUUGGUAAGGUAACGGCUUACCAAGGCUACGAUGGGUAGGGGUCCUGAGAGGGAGAUCCCCCACACUGGUACUGAGACACGGACCAGACUCCUACGGGAGGCAGCAGUGAGGAAUAUUGGACAAUGGGCGCAAGCCUGAUCCAGCCAUGCCGCGUGCAGGAUGACGGUCCUAUGGAUUGUAAACUGCUUUUGUACAGGAAGAAACACUGGUUCGUGAACCAGCUUGACGGUACUGUAAGAAUAAGGAUCGGCUAACUCCGUGCCAGCAGCCGCGGUAAUACGGAGGAUCCAAGCGUUAUCCGGAAUCAUUGGGUUUAAAGGGUCCGUAGGCGGUUUAAUAAGUCAGUGGUGAAAGCCCAUCGCUCAACGGUGGAACGGCCAUUGAUACUGUUAGACUUGAAUUAUUAGGAAGUAACUAGAAUAUGUAGUGUAGCGGUGAAAUGCUUAGAGAUUACAUGGAAUUCCAAUUGCGAAGGCAGGUUACUACUAAUGGAUUGACGCUGAUGGACGAAA
rnacentral:rRNA from 1 species